rnacentral:rRNA from 1 species
CCUACGGGAGGCAGCAGUGAGGAAUAUUGGUCAAUGGGCGCGAGCCUGAACCAGCCAAGUAGCGUGAAGGAAGAAGGCUUUCGGGUUGUAAACUUCUUUUAUCAGGGACGAAGCAAGUGACGGUACCUGAUGAAUAAGCCACGGCUAACUACGUGCCAGCAGCCGCGGUAAUACGUAGGUGGCAAGCGUUAUCCGGAUUUACUGGGUGUAAAGGGCGUGUAGGCGGGAGUGCAAGUCAGAUGUGAAAACUAUGGGGUCAACCCAUAGCCUGCAUUUGAAACUGUACUUCUUGAGUGCUGGAGAGGCAAUCGGAAUUCCGUGUGUAGCGGUGAAAUGCGGAGAUAUACGGAGGAACACCAGUGGCGAAGGCGGAUUGCUGGACAGUAACUGACGCUGAGGCGCGAAAGCGUGGGGAGCAAACAGGAUUAGAUACCCUUGUAGUC